GGUCCAGGUGAGGAAAACCGGCCCCUCAUUUGAAAAGGAAAGGCAGCCAUGGUUCUUGUCAGCCUGGGUUGGGUUAGCAAGAGAAUGGUUCAGCAAGUUGACAAACAGUUCUGAGAUUUGGAUUUUGAAAGAAUGAUAUAGUUGCGAGUCAAUGAAGCCUUCAUCCUCUGCGAUGUCCUCAUCAGCCGGGGUCCAGCUUCUCCCUCAGGGGCAGAAGACCCCCAGACGCCUUCGAGGCCUCUCCAAAGUGGUUUCAUCGCUUUUGAAGUCAGAAGAGAAGUGGGCUUCCAGGUCUCAGAAAAUAUUUAAAUAAAUAACAAUAUGUUCACGUUUACCUCAAUGCUGUUAUGACAUGGAGUUGUCAGUGAACUUAUUUAUUUUGGUGAAGGACAGGUGCCCCAAAGGCAACUAUAACUCCACCCAGUAGAUCAGAGACAUGAAGGGGAUAAAAUCCUGUUUUCAGAAAAAAGCAUCAAGCAAUCAUACGUGGCCGGACCGUUUUCAACGACACGCAGGUAAAGUUGGGGGACACAGGCCAGGCAGGCAGGGGAGGCAUGGGAUGGGUCAGCUGAGUCAGGAGGACCCACAGUCCUUCACAAGCCACACGUUUUGGGGAGAUAUGACCCUCAUUUUCCCUCUCACAAGUCUACUGCUCUAGCUAAUGAGCAAAUCAAAAGAAACAGAAAGAAUUCUAGACCUCAGUGCCAUCAAAUUAGGGGAGUUCAUUGAAGACACCACUUUUCACACAGUGCAAUCAUGGUCUCUUUGUUUUGGUCAAAAGAGUGAAAAAAUUUUUUCAAACCCAACUCCCCCGCCCUCCUCCCCGCACCCAAACCGUUCUCUGGGCCGACCAUGGUAUUUCUUAUCUUCUCUCACCGGUUUCACACACAGUCUCGUCCGUGAGGACGGGCAGCACAAUUACCGUUCAACAAGACGCAUUGAGCUUCCCACACAACAAGGGCCUUUUAAAACUGCACUUGACUUUCCAGGUGAUUCAGCAGGAGGAGCCAUUAGCGCACCAUCUAAAUCGGGACUUGGGAAGUUUAUUAAAAUUCAAUUUUUAACCUGAUCCCCAUUUCCUCUGCUUAUAAAAAAAAUCCCACUGGACUGCUUCAUAUUCAUGCUCUUAACCUGAAGGAUUCAAACGGCCAUUAUGGGAGGAAACACUUUAC